rnacentral:rRNA from 1 species
UACGUAGGGCCCGAGCGUUGUCCGGAAUUAUUGGGCGUAAAGAGCUCGUAGGCGGUUUGUCACGUCGGCUGUGAAAACUCGGGGCUCAACCCCGAGCCUGCAGUCGAUACGGGCAGACUAGAGUGCUGUAGGGGAGACUGGAAUUCCUGGUGUAGCGGUGGAAUGCGCAGAUAUCAGGAGGAACACCGAUGGCGAAGGCAGGUCUCUGGGCCACUACUGACGCUGAGAAGCGAAAGCAUGGGGAGCGAACAGG